rnacentral:rRNA from 1 species
AACGAACGUUGGCGGCGUGGCUUAGGCAUGCAAGUCGAACGAGAAAGUUUCCUUCGGGGAGCGAGUAUAGUGGCAAAAGGGUGAGUAAUGAUUAGUUAACCUACCCCUAAAACUGGGAUAACAACCCGAAAGGGUUGCUAAUACCGGAUGGUCUAUGAGAGAUGCAUAUCUUUUAUAGUAAAGGCGCUCGCAAGGGUGUCGAUUAGGGAGGGGAUUAAUUCCUAUUAGCUAGUUGGUGAGGUAAUGGCUCUACCAAGGCAUUGAUGGGUAACCGAUCUGAGAGGAUGACCGGUCACACUGGGACUGAGACACUGCCCAGACUCCUACGGGAGGCUGCAGUCGCGAAUAUUCCGCAAUGGACGCAAGUCUGACGGAGCGACGCCGCGUGUGGGAUGAAGGCCUUAGGGUUGUAAACCACUGUCACACUUUAAGAAAUCAAUUAGGGUAACUCCUAGUUGUUGACAAAGGAGUGGAAGGAAGUCACGGCUAACUACGUGCCAGCAGCCGCGGUAAUGU